rnacentral:rRNA from 1 species
UACGUAGGGGGCAAGCGUUGUCCGGAUUUAUUGGGCGUAAAGAGCGUGUAGGCGGCCGUACAGGUCAGCUGUGAAAACUCGAGGCUCAACCUCGAGACGUCGGUUGAAACCGUACGGCUAGAGUCCGGAAGAAGAGAGUGGAAUUCCCGGUGUAGCGGUGAAAUGCGCAGAUAUCAGGAAGAACACCCGUGGCGAAGGCGGGUCUCUGGGCCGAAACUGACGCUGAGGAGCGAAAGCGUGGGGAGCGAACAGG